UACGGGGGGAGCAAGCGUUGUCCGGAUUUAUUGGGCGUAAAGAGCGUGUAGGCGGCCAUACAGGUCCGUUGUGAAAACUGGAGGCUUAACCUCCAGACGUCGAUGGAAACCGUAUGGCUAGAGUCCGGAAGAGGAGAGUGGAAUUCCUGGUGUAGCGGUGAAAUGCGCAGAUAUCAGGAAGAACACCCGUGGCGAAGGCGGCUCUCUGGGACGGUACUGACGCUGAGACGCGAAAGCGUGGGGAGCGAACAGG
rnacentral:rRNA from 1 species